rnacentral:rRNA from 1 species
UACGGGGGGAGCAAGCGUUGUUCGGAAUCACUGGGCGUAAAGGGCGUGUAGGCGGUUCGGUAAGUGGGAUGUGAAAUGCCCGGGCUCACCCCGGGACCUGCAUCUCAUACUGCUGAGCUUGAGUACAGGAGAGGGUGGGGGAAUUCCUGGUGUAGCGGUGAAAUGCGUAGAGAUCGGGAAGAACAUCGGUGGCGAAAGCGCUCUACUGGGCCAUAACUGACACUCAGGGACGAAAGCUAGGGGAGCGAAUGGG